AGUGAACGCUGGCGGUAGGCCUAACACAUGCAAGUCGAACGGCAGCACAGUAAGAGCUUGCUCUUACGGGUGGCGAGUGGCGGACGGGUGAGGAAUACAUCGGAAUCUACUUUUUCGUGGGGGAUAACGUAGGGAAACUUACGCUAAUACCGCAUACGACCUACGGGUGAAAGCAGGGGAUCUUCGGACCUUGCGCGAUUGAAUGAGCCGAUGUCGGAUUAGCUAGUUGGCGGGGUAAAGGCCCACCAAGGCGACGAUCCGUAGCUGGUCUGAGAGGAUGAUCAGCCACACUGGAACUGAGACACGGUCCAGACGCCUACGGGAGGCAGCAGUGGGGAAUAUUGGACAAUGGGCGCAAGCCUGAUCCAGCCAUACCGCGUGGGUGAAGAAGGCCCUCGGGUUGUAAAGCCCUUUUGUUGGGAAAGAAAAGCAGCAGGUUAAUACCCCGCUGUUCUGACGGUACCCAAAGAAUAAGCACCGGCUAACUUCGUG
rnacentral:rRNA from 1 species